UACGUAGGUGGCGAGCGUUGUCCGGAUUUACUGGGCGUAAAGAGCGCGCAGGCGGCUGGUCAAGUCCGAUGUGAAAGCUCCCGGCUUAACUGGGAAAUUGCAUCGGAAACUGAUCGGCUGGAAGGUGGGAGAGGGUAGCGGGAAUUCCCGGUGUAGUGGUGAAAUGCGUAGAUAUCGGGAGGAACACCAGUGGCGAAGGCGGCGAUCUGGGAAGAUACUGACGCUGAGGUGCGAAAGCGUGGGGAGCAAACAGG
rnacentral:rRNA from 1 species